UACAGAGGUCUCAACCGUUGUUCGGAUUCAUUGGGCGUAAAGGGUGCGUAGGCGGUUUGUUGCGUCGGCUGUGAAAUCCCGAGGCUCAACCUCGGGUCUGCAGUCGAUACGAGCAAACUAGAGUGUUGCAGGGGAGACUGGAAUUCCCGGUGUAGCGGUGAAAUGCGCAGAUAUCAGGAGGAACACCGGUGGCGAAGGCGGGUCUCUGGGCAACAACUGACGCUGAGGAGCGAAAGCGUGGGGAGCGAACAGG
rnacentral:rRNA from 1 species